rnacentral:rRNA from 1 species
UAAGGUCACGGCAAGACUAGCCGUUUAUCAUCACGAUAGGUGCCAAGUGGAAAUACAGUAAUGUAUGCAGCUGAGGCAUCCUAACAGACCAAGAGAUUUGAAC